rnacentral:rRNA from 1 species
AUGCCAGAAGAACUAAAUUAUGCAAUAUAUAUUAGCUACGAGGACUUGUCCCCUUCUUUAAAACAAUGCUUUCUGCACUUCUCCCUUAAGCCUAAGAAGACAAUUAUACAUGACAUACAAUUCGUCGGCAUGUGGAUUGGUGAAAGAUUUGUUCAUGGAGACUCUGAUAGAUUGGAAGAACUAGGAAUUGAGUACCAUAAAGAGCUAAUAUUGAGGAACCUUAUAGAGCCAGAUACAUCAUAUGCCGGCCGGGUCAAUAUAUUUGCAACAUGCAUGAUGUUGUUCGUUCAUUCGCUCAAUAUGUGA